UGGGGAAUAUUGGACAAUGGGCGAAAGCCUGAUCCAGCCAUGCCGCGUGUGUGAAGAAGGUCUUCGGAUUGUAAAGCACUUUAAGUUGGGAGGAAGGGCAUUAACCUAAUACGUUAGUGUUUUGACGUUACCGACAGAAUAAGCACCGGCUAACUCUGUGCCAGCAGCCGCGGUAAUACAGAGGGUGCAAGCGUUAAUCGGAAUUACUGGGCGUAAAGCGCGCGUAGGUGGUUUGUUAAGUUGGAUGUGAAAUCCCCGGGCUCAACCUGGGAACUGCAUUCAAAACUGACUGACUAGAGUAUGGUAGAGGGUGGUGGAAUUUCCUGUGUAGCGGUGUAAUGCGUAGAUAUAGGAAGGAACACCAGUGGCGAAGGCGACCACCUGGACUAAUACUGACACUGAGGUGCGAAAGCGUGGGGAGCAAACA
rnacentral:rRNA from 1 species